CUCCUCAGAGCUGGGUUCUGGAGUAGUGAGUGGCAAGCUACCUCAAAAAAACAAAUUAAAUUAAAAAAGAAGGCGCAUUUCACAGCCUUCUGGGGCUGACCUGGAUCUGGUCCUCAGAUAGCCUCCAUAAAACUUUUCUCUGAGACAAAAAAGAUGGCAAGCCCCAAAGGGGAGGAGAUGGCCCUGUGGCUUCUCUGGUAUCUCCAGGUUGGGAUACCAGGUCUUUGAUGACCACAGGGGAGGAAGAGGGGCUUCUCACAGUGCUUCCAGAUAUCCAUAUAUGAGCAUCAACGUGCCUUCUGCAAGCCCAUUUUCAGAAUAAUGUCACCCGCGCUUUGCAAACUAUGUGAGUGGGGUCACUUGGAGCUAGGAUUGGAGGUCGGAGUGUGUAGCCCUGAAGUCUUGGCCAUUCCACCGCCCUGCUGCCCAGGGACCUGUCCCACAGGAAGGGCCACAGGAGGCUGCAUGUGAACACUGGGAGUCGUCUGCAUGGCCAGCUCUAUAGGCAGACUGAGGCUUCCAGCUCUUUCUAUCCUCCAGCUCCUCUCCUCUCCACUGCCUCCUCUCUCUUCCUUCUCCUGGUCUUCCUCCUCUCCUCUCUUUUUUCCUCUGUUCUUCUCCUUCCCUCCUUCCUUCCUUCUUCCCUCCCUCUCUCCCUCCCUCCCAUGUCUCUGGCACCUCUGGCCCCAGGCUCUACACUGGACAUCAGUGGGGCUCCAGAACAGAGAAACUCGGCCCUGCUUCUUGAGGUCACAUGUUGAUGGAGACAAACUCGUUGCUCACUGAAGGCCACACAGGGUGACAGCUGCUCUGAGGGAGGUCUGAGUGAGGUCCCAUGGGAACACGGAUCAACACCUGCCUCGAGCUAUUUCCUGCCUGGCUGGCAGGUUCUGUUCCAAAUGGCACUGGCUCCUGACCUGGCUUCCCUUCAUGGUGGAGGGUAGGAGAGAACACCCCCAUGGUGUUUUAACACAGCAAUAGAGAGCAAACUACAGCGGCUACCCUGAAAACAAGGCGAUCUCAAACCUGCCCCGAUCCUGAGACUGCCCAAAGGUCAUAUGUGUUGGCUUGCAAUAGAGCUGGGGCAUCUUGGGCAGUUCUCCUGCUGAUGCAAAAGGCGGGGUCCCAUGGUUGCCCCCAAAGUUCUUAGACUGGAGUCUCACAGCUGGGGAAGGGGAGAAUGAGAAGAGUCUCUGUGAGAUUUCCAGCAGGAAUUCACCUGGAGGAGAUGGCCCCUGGUCUGGAUGCAUCAAGAUGCAACCUGAUCCGUUGAUUCCAGCUCCUGACACCCCGACUUCUCCCCCAUCAUGGACUGAACCCUCAAACCAUCGGGAACUAACCCUCUCCUUCGGGUGGCUUCAGCCAGGAUAGGAAUGAAGACAAGCCAGAGGCAGAGCCUCCGCUGGUCACCUCGGAAGACCAGAAGCAGAUUCAGUCGACACACACACUCAAUCUCUGCAUUUGGGAAGCACAGGCAGGAGAAUUGCAAGUUUGAGGGUGGCCUUGGCUAUGCAGGAAGAUCCUGUCCCAACAACAAAAAAGAAAAACUUAAAAAGAGGUGCCACCAAGAUUGCUAAGCAACGAACGCUAGGCUGGUGACUGCUCUGGAACUCAGGUUCAGGCGCUUGUCAAUCACUUCCUGGACUGGACCACCUCUGUAGUCCACAACUGACUCUGAGCACAGACAGUCUUGGGCAAGGAGACGGUAAGAAUCCAUGGGAACAGGUCCUAGGUGGAUAGAUUCACUGGAACCUGGGGAUGAGGGGGCGCUCCAUCUGAUAAAGAGGUCCUUUAGGGGGCACUGCUUGGCUUGUCCACCUGUCCUUCAUGAAUUGGGAUGAGUUUGGUCCCUUAAACAUCAGCUGGGGGCAGGUGAGUUGUCUCCAAAGCAGGCCAGGGAGAAACAAAAUGAAGAAAAGCCCUUAGUUAUGUUCUGCUAAGCUGCUGUUACAGUGUGUGGCCUUGAUGAGAGCUCCGAGGAGAGAACUAACAUUCUCAGCUGCCCAAAACAUGAAAGAAUUGAUCACCUGGCCAAGGGACCAUGCUCCAGGUAGGAUCCUUGAGCCCUGCUAAAGGGACCGGAGGAUUAAUGGUUCUGUUAAGGAGAUGACCUAAUCUCCCUUUCAGGCCCUACUGCCGUCUCCUUCCGAGCCGCAGCCACAAAGUUGUCCCACCUUGCUGGAUUCCUCAGAAAAGCCAAACAUCUCCCUCCUUUUGUUCUUUCUCUUUUCUAAGCAUGCUUUCCCCCAACACUCUGGGCUUCGCUAUUUUGCAGUCACCCAUUUGCUGUGCGGCUGGCUUUCAUGCUCAAUUCAAACAUGUGGCUUUCCCUCCUCCUUCCAGUCUCGCCCCUCUGGGCUGCCCAGAUUUAUACCCUGCUUGCUUUGAGGUUUCCCUUUAAAUGCUAAAAAAAUUUCCCUUAGGUUUCCUUUCCAGUCACUUCUUAAGUUCUUUUAUUCAUGAGACAGACAAACAAGCAAAAGUUCUCCAGGGAGGACCUAAUUUUUUCAAAGCCGUGUGACAGUCCUUCCGAGUCUCCUCAAAUCUAGGCUGUGUCAGAGAAGCUCACUUCUCAGCAUCCGCAGCACCAAUCGUGAGGCCCGGUGGCCCCUCCAUCACAGAGGAGGACCCCUCUAGUGUGAAGGGCUGGACCCCAAGGUCAUGAAGACAGGAAGCCACGGCUGAGGUCAGGCCUGAAUCUGAGUCCGGAAUGGUUCUGGUUCAACCUGGGUAAUAACUUACGUUCUACUGCAUGAGCUGUGAACUGAAUUGCUUGGGGACUCAAGCUACCCUGAGUUCACAGUUCUGUGCGUGUCCAGAGCUGCCUCUCUGUGGGAGUCUGUGCCCUCUUCCCUGGGGUCAGUGUGACCUUACCUUGCAGAAGGUUGAGGCAUUUUUUUGUAAAUUACCUCAGCUCUCCAGAUCCCUGCUCCACUCUUUGGAGCCUCAUUUGAGGACUUUCCCCCAUCAAAUGACCUGGGGGCAUGUCUGGCCUGGCUGUAUCUCCUUUUAGUGUUGUGUGAGAGGGUCCAGCCCACUGUGGGCUGAGCCAUCCCUUAGCAGGUGCUGCUGAGCUCUACAAGAAAGCAAGUUGAGCAAGCCCUGGGGAGCAAACCAGCAGACAUGCUCAAAUCCUGAAACUUUGUAGACAUGAACGUGGAGAGGGGAGGGGCCCUUUAAUCCACUCUGCUUUAGUGUGGCUUUUUAGAGGAGAUGUAUUAUCUGUCUGUCUAUCUGCCUGCCUGUCUCUCUGUCUUUCUAUCUACAUCUCUCUCUCCCCCCACUUCCUUGCUCCCUCCUUCUGUGUUUAGAGCGAGUCCUAGAGCGAUCUGGGAGCUCUCCCGCCCACUUGAGACACAGCUGAGUUUAGAUUUGGGUUGCAGGAUGACAUUUAUGACCACGGAGCAGGCAUGGAGGACUGGUGGGAGAGACUUAUGAAAUAUUCAUACACAGCAGUAAUCUUCUCAGAUAGCAGCCGAGGCCAGACUUCGUCCAGCACUGUUGAUUUAGGGACACAGUUAAUUAUCUCCUGCCAAGGUUAAUAAACCUGCCCCACGUCAGCCUGCAAGCUCUGUAGCGGAGGCCCCGUCUCCAGGGUCUUGACUUUCAAGGCUCGGCAUGGAAGGAAAUCUGAGCCUAGGUGUGGGCCAGGAGAGUGAGUGCCUUCAGAGGCUGUGUCCUUACUCAGUGAGCAGGGCUGUCACUUCAUCUCUAAAACGGGAGAGAGGAGGUUGGGAAGAUGGUUUAGUCAGUAAAGUCUUACCCCGCUCCACGGUGUGAGCUUGUGUCCCGGCGCUAGAGAGGGCACAGACAGGCAGAUCCCAGAGGCUUGCUGAUCGAUCAAUCACUCUAGCUGAGUAAGGCAACCCUACGGGGGUAGGCAUCAUCAGAUUGCCACGGGUCUCCGAGCAAGCGGUCAUUCAUUCAUUUACUAUUCAUUUGUCUGUGCAGAGAUGAGCCCACGUGUGAAGCCCGGAGCAUGUGCCCUGCCCCAUGCCCAGGUCCGGGCCCGCCUGUAGACUUUCUGAUUUGAAGCGAUAGGCUCUGUGGUAGAACCCCAUUCCUUCUUGGGUAGGACAAGAUUCACAGGUAGGGGGAAACUGUGAUCAACUCUAGGUUCCCAGUGACACAUUUGCGUUUCUUGCGUAUCCCAGACUCCCUUUCUGCUCUGGGAUUUUGGCUGUCCAAGGGAACCUUGAUAGGGUUCUGCCUCCACCCUUUAUGGAAUCGUCUGGGUAGGUCUUCAACCGACAGGAUGUGUGUGAGCCCCUAAGGAAAUGGAUGGGAGCUCCGUAGGAGUCAACUGAACACCCAAAUGCUGCAGAAGGAAACCGGUGCUCACCGGCCUCACUGAGGCCACAGGCUUGAGGUCUCUCCCUGCCUUUCCCGAAAGCUCAGUGGAUAAAUGCUCUCAGUGGUGUUUGAUGACAUGGAAAUAUGCUCUUCCCCUCAGGCGACAGAGUAGGGUAGACCUGUGACACCCGAGGCCUCGGUGACCUCACUGCAGGGGACAGUGAGUUUAGAGGGACGCUUUCCCACUAGGUCUUUUCCAGCUAACACUAUGGGAGGUUCAGGCUGUGGACUGGUAGAUCAGUUUUGUAUCUACCUGGAGUCCCAGCCCCUGCCUGCAGAGUGGCCAGGGAAACAGGCUGUCAAAGAGGCAGGCGAUCAGUUCUUCUCAUCGCUAAAGGUUAGCACUUCCAGCGUUGCGCGCCCACCGGUCAGGGUGCUGCCCUGAAGUUUAAAGGUCAGGGCAGGCCUCCGCCGUCAGCCAUCAACACUGAGAGAGAGAGGCUGAUCAGCCGAGCCAGAUGCUGGUCCAUCACGGCUCGUAGCUGAUCUGUGGUAAUGAAGGCAACUUUCUCCCUGCCCGUGAUCAAUGUCUGUCUGCCACGUCUGUCGAUAACUGCUGGCAGUCCAAUCUUUUCCUCGACAGAAAAGGCACUGGGGGUCGCCUGGAGAUACUCUGCGUGGUUCAGUGCUGCCUUGCUGGGCUGGAAUUAAGUUGACUCUUUCGCUAAUGAAACUGACUCCCGGAGGUCUCUGCGGACUGGUAGGCUCUCAGCAGAAGCUGGGGGGAGCGGCAGUGUAAGGCAGAGAAUAUUCCCGUGAUUGUGGGAAGCUGACCUGUGGCUGCUUUCCCUGCUGCUGCCAGAGAAAACCAGCAUCUAGAGAUUCUAGAACUUUCCUGCAGUACCCAGGUGCCUAAACCACAGUGCUGAGUUUGGAGCAGACGAACACUCUGUGCUGUCUGUCCUGUCUGAGAGCCAAGCCAUAGGAGGUAGCAGGGUACCCAGUGCAGCAAAGGGCGUCCUACUUUCCCUUGCUGAUCUGAAUUUCCUUUCCCCACAUUCCUGGAGGCUCACAGCGGUGGGGGUCAGGAGGGUAUCUUUCCGGGUCACGGUAGGAGGUAAGGUCACUUUCACAGUGUAACCAAGUCACCUGUAUUCACCCUGCCUUCAACCAACGGAGGCCGAGAGACUCGAGGAUCCGUGCUGACAUCCGAAAUCAUCUGUGGCUGAAACCAACAGCCCAAGUUGGGCUGGGACACGCAGGACAGUAUUAGCAGGGCAGUCCCCACUCCCCAACACACACGGUGACUUAUUCUGACUCCAGGGCCUUGAAAUGGUUUCUCUAACACAGAAGGACUGCACAGUCCAAGGCCAGGAGCCUCGGGGCACUGUUUCAGGAUCUCUGCCUUUGAAACAAGCAGCAUCGAGAGAACUGGGCUUUUCUGACAGUGUCUACUGUAGUCUUACUGUUCUGUUGCUGUGAAGAGACACCAUGGCGGAAGAAAGCAUUUAGCUGGGUGCUUGCUUUCAGUUUUAGAGGCUUGGUCGUGUCAGGAAGCAGACAGGCCUGGCUCUGACUCCACCUCCCAAUCCUUCCCAACCAAUUCUACCCUUGAGGACCGAGCAUACGAACAUAGGAGCCAAUGGGGGCCUUUCUCAUUUGAGUCACAGCCACCUGCAGCGGCUCCCAGCUUAUUUAGUGUUUACUGUUGGCAGUCUGCAUGAAGGGCACUUCCGUUGAGGAAACUGAAGAUCAGAGAGUCAAACGAGCCUGUCCCACGUCACACAGUUGGUCUGUGGAAGGAGGAAGGGACUCCACUCUCAGCUGUGAUGCCGGUCGCUUUCAGAGCACCGUGUCUGAGUGUGACAAGGUUUGAAGGAGUGAUGCAGAGACAGGAGAAUGAGACGCUCAGGAAGCCUGCUCCUGAACACUUUAGUAAGGCCAUUGCUACCUUGGCCUGGUCCCUUGCACAUGUUUCAAACUUUCUUCGUAGCUGAGGAUGCCCGUUAGAUUCUGGUCCUCAGUUCUUCAUCUCCUGAGAGAGUGAGUGUGAAGGGUACAGGGCUGGGCCAUCAUGCCUGGUUUAUGCAGCGCUGGCGCUCGAACCCCAGGCCUUGUGUAGGCAAGCAUUCUGUCUGCUAAUCCCAUCUCUAGCCUAAUGUGUUUUUUCCUCUCUACUCCAUCACCCCUGCAAUUGGAUUCAUCUUCCAGUGUCCUGUCAGAGUUCAGCGGGUGGAGACAUUCUUUCCUGAUGAGUCUGGGCACAACAAUAUGUCUUCCCAUUUCUGGCGGGGCCAGAGAACCUCGCUGCAAAAAGGAGCAGAGAGUUUGGGCUCUGUGGCGUGAGCAAGUUUGGUUCCAAUCACUGGGGGCGGGACAGCAGCCCCGGAUGUGGAGUGAAUGAACAGGUAUGAUCGUGUUCUAACAUCUGUAUAAAUGAGGGCGUGGGCCGCGGUUGCCAUCUACACGAGGAACCUUGGAUGCCUUGCUUAUAGAGGUGACAACUGUCCCGGGUGUUGACAGUCAUUUGGGAGGUGCUGGGUACUGACUGCUUGGUUCUGCUCCACCAUCACAUCUGAUUUUCCCUUCGGCUAUCUCAGUGCAAGGACUGCUCUGUGCUCCAGAUGAGAGACCAGAUUUGGAGACGUCAGGAAACCUCUCUUGUGUACCUCAGCAGUGUAAGGAGAGUGGGAACUGAGUGGUGCUGUCCCCGGCUGGCCUACAUGGUCAUCUCUGGGCCUGGCAUAGGCACGACCCUCUCCUGGGGCCCUUGGGUAUUUGACGCUUACUUCCAACCAGCCUAAUCCAACACUGUCAGAUUGAUUAUGUCUCGGGUAACACAGAGAGACAGUGCACUGCUUGCUCCUGUGAAAACAGCCACUUCUACUUUGCAAAGUGAGAAUCACAGCAGAUAUGAGUAAGAGAAACACACAGGCCUAGGACUGUGGCUCAAUUGGGAGAGAUCAUGGCUAACAUCUUCUGCACCCCAAGCAUAAACAGAGUGUGAUGCCUACAAACUCAGUCCUCAGGAGUUUAAGGUUAUCCUUGGCUACAUCUUGAGUUAGAAGGUAGCCUGAUCUACGAUGAGGCCUUGUCUCAAAACAUAAACAAAUGCUGACUGCCUGUGCCUGGAGUAAGAGACAGCUUAGUACUUGGGGCUGCGUGGUUUCCCACAUCUGGCUUGUCCCAGGUUCCUCCUCAGUCAGGACUCAUGUUGAUCAAUAGUUCCAGGCCCAACCUUCUAGAAACUCAAGCUGUCCGAGAAACCAGAUGCAGACAGAAGAAACAGCGGCUCUCUGUGUCAGUGCAGACGCUCCCAGGCUCGGAAGAGUGCAGAGUAUGGGGACAGGAGCAAGUCUGUCUCUGAGGGAGCCGGUGGCAAUCCGGCUGGUUUUGGCUCUUGAGCAGUCUAUGAGGCUACUGGGCAUGGCAAUGUGUGAAUGCUGGGUCCACGCCUCCACUCUGCCAUUUGCUAGCCUUCUCUGGGCAGCUUAUUUUACUCUCUGUGCCUCAGUCUCUCGUUGACACAAUGUAGGUAAUACACCUAGUACUGGAUUUCCUCAGCAUUCACUGGCAGAAGGGACCGAGAUCUUAUCUUGGGGAUCUGCCUGUCAGCUCCCACCCGGCUACAUGUUCUUGUGUGUAUGCACACUGUGUGCACAUGGGUAUACAUACAUGUAUGCCUGUACAUGCACACAGCUAAUGAUCCUCUUGGCUGUUUCCUGGUGGCCACCAUGCAGCUCUGAGUUUUGCCUACUAGAACCCUUCAUACAUCUGCGUCUCAGACCUCGUGGCUCCCUUCUCCCUUGACCCCAGGCGCCAGCCCUGUCCCUUGGUGGCUCUUUCCCAAAGGUCAACCUUGGGUGUCAAUUCUCAGGCAUUCUCCACCUUAGUUUUUGAGGCAGGGUCUCUCAUUGAACCCAGGACUCGCUAACCAACUAGACUGGCUGGCCACUAGGCCCCACGGACCCUCCUAUCUCUACCUCCCCGUCCCGGGAUUAGAGGCGUGCACCCAUACCUGGCCCAGCUCCCUCGAAGGUGUUUGGGGAGGUGUUUGGGAAGGUGUUUCAAACUCAGAAACUCAUGCUUCACAACAAGCGCCCCAGCUGGUUUUCACACGUAAACUUUAGUGUCUGAUUUUACUUGUUCGUCUUCAGAACAAGAGCACGGUGACCCCAGCUUUCUAGUUGGAAUUUUCUUCUGUGAGACCACAACAUAGUGCAGAAGUUAUGAGUGGCUGAGAAACCAGCCCAGACUCUGAGGACAUGGGGAUGGGUCGCUGGACGCAGUGGCGUCACUGAUGAUGGGCAUCCCACACUAGGCUUAGGCAGAGAAAAGGGGUCACCAGUCUGCCUUUGCUUGCCGGGUCUCUAACCAGCAGGUACUCCUUUUAGUAAAAGGUUUAUGAAUUAGCUAUGCAUAUCAGUGGUUGUAAAUGUACCACGUGUGUGUCUGGUGCCCACAGAGGCUGGAAGAGGGUGUUAGAACCCCUAGAACCUGAGUUAUAGGGAGUUUAAGCCUCCAUGUGGGUGCUGAGAAUUGAACCCAGGUCCUCUAUGAGAGCGACUAGUGCUCCCAAUCACUGAGCCAUCUCUCCAGGCCCCACAGGUGCUCUCGGUGAGUCCCCCACUGUCUCGGGCUGCAGAGUAAAAGAUGUCCAGUCCCUGGCUCCGAUUGUUUUGUGAUUCCAUGAACAACCCUGGUGCUUAACGAGUGACCCAGCUCAGGCCUUAGACUGGACAUCUCCGCUUUGUACCUGCUGGGAGAGGAGAAUCAACUGUCUCCCGUCAUUAAGUAGGAUUUCAGCUGAGUGAAUUUCACAGGCAGCUCUGACCAGUACGUGCAGGUUUUAUAAAUACUGAGUGGUCUUACAGAGAGCGCCUGUGGAACUGGCUGUGUCUACAGAGAGGACCACGCAACUGGUUCCACUCCAGUUUGCUCCGCGUUAUUAUCAUGAAAACAUGUCAAUUUUGCCGGGUGUUGUCUUUUUUUUUCUUUAAAGAUUUAUCUGUGAUUUUUUUUUUUUAACUUGGGCGUGCGCGCCUGUAUUCGUUUAUGUACACCAUGGGCGCAUAGGAACCUGUGCAGGUCAGAAGGUAUCAGGUCCCUUGGAACUGUGUUACAGGGGUUGGGAGCCACCGUGCAGAUGCUAGGGACCAAACCCAGGUCCUCUGCAAGCGCAGCAAGUGCGCUGCCCACCCAUGGAGCCAUCCCUCAGCCUCCAGGAGUUUUCUUGUGUGUUGAGGGAAUCCUGUGUUGUUUUAAGAAACAACAUCUUGUAGUCUGCUUUUCUCGUCGGACCCCGUGAGAUUGCUGCUACGCUGAUGGUUAGGCAGUGAGGCUUAAAUGCCCGGAACUGCCCCCUUCCCCCAGAGCCAGGGAGUUCUGUGAUAUUCGCACCCUCAAUGCUUUACCAGGAAGUGGUUGGCUCUCUCUCAGUUUCCACUUCCUGCUAUUUACACUCUUGGGGAGAGGAGGAAGUGAGGGCCCAGGGUCUUCUUGGAUCUCUUCUGAGCAUGCGCCCUCUUGGAUCUCUUCUGAGCAUGCGCUCUCUGUCAGCAUACAGCCAUCAGGAACCUGCUGGAGUUUGAAUUGCCCUCGUGGACAGUUUGGUGGCUGCUCUUUUUUUUUUUUUUUUGCUUGCCUACUUCAUGAAGCUUCUCUUCCUCGGUUUUCUCUUAGGCGUUUUGGUUAGCUCAUAAUUUGCCCCAACUCUGGUUGGCCAGAAUCCAGUGGAUGAAUCCGUAACUUCUUACUGUUGUUUUUUAAAACAAAAAACAAACCUCCGAAACCUUAGACUUUCCCUCUAGGUCAAAUGAAGGCAGCCUUGGGGACAGAGAGUCACUUGGGGACAGAGAAAUGACAGUUUCCUGGUGAUGAGGCUCUGUGCCCUCAGGGAGAGGCCGGGCUGCUGACUCUAGGCUGUGGGCUUUGAAAGAAACCCACGCUGAUGAGAAAGAUAUGGAAAUACAUCCAGUUAAAAUGCUACCAGGCUCUCCCUGGAAUUCUGCAAACCCGAGCUGGAUUUCCAGAAUCCUGAGAAAGUCGAUUUGGGGCAUCUUUUGCUCGUUUUUGUCAUGACUUUUGCUGAAUCGAGAAUCAUCCGUUCUUGCCGAUAUCCUUGUGACUCCCUCGCAGUUGUGGCGAGGAAAUCUGAGAUCCCACCUGUAAGAGUGACACAACGUUUCCUCUUUAAAUAUCUUAGGUAUGAAAAGAGUUGAGAAAUCUAUCCUGGAAAAGCUCUGUAUUAUUUGAGUCUAACUGCAAGAUACUCUGGACAAGGUGAAGUUAGAGAGAGAUCGUGACUCUGCUGGCGACUGACCCCAAGGUGCAGGGGCGGCCUGUCUUCCCAGGAGACUGUCACUGGUAGAGGUGAGGACCUAGACCCAGGGCACAGGGUACAGUAUGGGGGGAGGGGCUGAAGAUGUAAUUUCCAUUCCUCUCUCAGAAUUGAGAAUCUGCCCAGGGGUGUAGCCACUGGCAUGGCUGGUCCCGAGGGAGUUUGGUUGCAGAAAGGGACUCGCCAGGCUUUUGUGGUAAAGUCAGAGGCCUUUGAUGUAUUAUUCAGGUACUGAUUCAAUGGCAGCAGCAGACCCAUUCUCCACUGAUCCUCCUGCCUCUGGUGUUAGGAGCACCUGCAGCUGUCUGAAACAUCUGUUGAGCUGCAGCCUAAGCUCCUGGGCCUGGCUACCAGAGAAACACUGGUCUGGUUCUUAGCUACUCUGACCUCAGUCCACAGUCACUGGGAGAAGCGGCUGUUCCCAGCCUCAGAUGAAAGGAGGGGUGGUCUUGGGCUUCACUCACGUCUGCCUCCCCGUCCAGGAGAACUGUGAUCAAAGGGGAAAGGCUCGGGAGUCAGAAAUAGCAGCCAGAGACUGGCCAGAUCCUCACGGUGUAGCAGCUGUCAUUAGAGCUCAGAAACCUGCCCUGUGUUUGCUGCCCCUGAGCAGGGUGACCGUAGCUGAAUCACUGAGCCAUGGCCACCAAGAUAAAGGCAGAUGUUGUAUGGCUUGCCCUCCUCAUGAGGUUUGAGUGCAGAGACCAUGUGGCAGGAACUUUGGCUCUCUGUGCUGGGUCAGGCUGGGUCAGGCUGGGUCAGCUGUGAGGUUGCUGUACGGUGGGGAGCCAGAACCUCAGCUAGAGCGUCUCAGCCUCUGACAUUGAGCUUCCUGAGGCGUAUGGAGCCUUCCCUCCAGGAACAGAGGCAGACACUGGCUUUCAUGUGGUAGCUGUUGAUACCACCUGCUACUACCUUUGACCAGUUGCAUUAACAUUGUUAUUAAUAACAGGAGCUGGCAUUUAUUAAGAACCCAGCUAUGUCAGAUGCAGUUCUGGGUGUUUCAGUGUAUUUAAGCCUCACCCGUACACGCAGGAGCUGCUGGGGAGGCCCGCAUUACACGUCAGAGGAAACAGAGGCAGCGCAGCCGGUCCAUUUCACAGAGGUGCACAGCAUCGGUGCAGAGGUGGAACAAGGAACACACAUCCACUUCUUCCUCCCAGACGCAGAGUGUGAUGUUCAUGCUGUCCAGGCCUUCGGGAUCCAGAAUCCCAGAAGAGACUGUACACGCCUAAGAGGAAUUACUACUUAGACGGGGUUAAUUGAAAUGUCAAGACCUACUCCAAAUGUGGGCAGCACCUUUCCGUGAGGGUCUUAGGCUUCAAACAAAGGGAAACAGUGAACUGAACACUAGAACCCGUCUCCCCCACCUCCCUUCCCCCCCCUCUCUCUGUCUCUGUCUCUCUCUCUGUGUCUCUCUGUCUCUGUCUCUGUCUCUGUCUCUGUCUCUCUCUCUCUCUCUCUCUCUCUCUCUGUGUGUGUGUGUGUGUGUGUGUGUGUGUGUGUGUGUGUGUGUGUGUGUUCCUAACUGCAGAUGCAUGUGAUGUCACCUCAUGAUCUUGGGGCCGAGACCUCCAGCCAUGAUGGACUGUACGUCAAACUGAAGGAAUUCUUCCUGCCUCAAGUUGCUCUGUCAGGUGUUUUGUUCAAGGUGAGGUAAGUCCACACAGCGGUCAUCAGUGGCCGGCCUCACUCAGCAGUCAGGGUGACUCAUACCUCUAAUCCCAGCACUCAGGAGGCAGAGAAACUUGGAUCUCUGAGUACAAGGCCAGCCUGGUCUAAACAGCAAAUUCCAGGACAGUCGGAGCUACAGAGAGAAACCCUGUCUGGGGAGGGGAAAGGAAAUAGACAGACAGAUAUAGAUGACAUAUAUGUAGACAGAUGAUAGAAACAUAGAUUGAUAGAUGAUAGAUAAGUAGAGAUAGAUGAUAGACAGACAUGAUAGCUAGGUAGACAGAGAUAGGUGGUAGAUAGAUACAUGCAUGCAUACAUACAUACAUAAUACAUGCAUACAUACAUACAUAAAUACAUGAAUACAUACAUGCAUACAUAUAUACAUACAUGCAUGCAUGCAUGAGUGAUAGAAAUCCCCACUCCGUCCCUGACUGUGGUAGGAGGCCCGGGUGCACACAGGGAGAGCAUUGACACAGAAUGCUGUGUCCCUGUACUUUAUCAUUUCUGGUAAAGUGACUUCACAGUGCUCAAGACUGACUUACUGCUUGCUGCUCGCCCAACUUUGCUCUCCAAAGACAGGGGACAGUCUAGCCAUCUGGGAACCAGUCCCUAGGUGGGAAUGGAGAUUUCUGGUGCCUACAGACCAGGCUUGUCCCCUUGCCAUCCUGUCACAAUGGAUACUGGGCACGCUACUCUCCUCAUUUCCCUCCUGUAUCACGGAACUCAUGGUGGUCCACGUUGAUGGCCAUCCUUGUGCUAGCUACGCAACCAGGCGUAGGAUCCUGCUUAUGAUGUCGUCCGUAUGUCCCACAGUGCAGCACGGCUGACUCGAUUCCCCUCACCUUCCCUCUGGCUGUUUCCCACACAGGUCUAUUACGACCUUCUAGACCUAGAACCUAGAGUUGCAAAGACAGCUAAGGCCCCUCCCUACUUGGUCUGUGCCUUACCUCACUGCCUCUGCCUCCUGCUCUCCUGGGAGUCUCCUGUCUGCUGAGACGUUCCUCUGCACCAGAGCCAGACGGCUGAGCUGUUGUGAAGCACCUGCCCCUUGCCACAUGGUGGGGACAUGGAACAGUCCCUGGUGCCAUCCUCCCCGCUCCAGCCCGACCCAACUGUCACUCCUUCUUGCCCAGUUAAUUCAGAUCCCCACAUCUAGAGUCCUCUGUCUCCCACCCAGUUCCCACCAGGCUGUACACCAUCUCCACGGUGUGGAUUGGAUUAGAUCUUCCAGGUCUGAAACCCACCAGUCCCAGCGUGAAAACAAGACUCCCUGCUUGGCUCUCCCAGGACCCUCUGCUCCUGCACUGCAUGCUGGGCUCUGAAGAUGCCCUGGAUCUGGGCAGGGCAGCCAUACCAGACCCCCUCUCUUCUGCACCCCUCCCUGCCUUGUCCCCCACUGCUCUCUCCCUACCCUGUUGAUCAACAUUAUCAGGCCAGUGGCUCCCCAGAGCUCUCUCAGACAUCAUGGGUGGUGGAAAGGGAGACAUUGAAAAAAUUAUCACAUCUAUUUACUUAGUGCUGGUGGGUGGGGCACGUGAACGUCAGGGCAUGAAUGUGGCUGUCAGAAGACAACCUGUGGGACUUGGUUCUCUCCUUCUACUAGGUGGGUCCCAGGGAUUGAACUCAGGUGUGGUAGUAAAUGCUUUUACCCACUGAGGCAUCUCACUGACCCUUCAACUGAUGUCUCUGGCUCCUUUGUCAAACACACUUUCUUUGACCUCUCUUCUAUCUCUCAGCCUCCUAGCUCCUCUCUCUCUUGGCCCUCUGCUCGUGUUUCCUGACCCUGCCUCUUGUGCUUCUCUCCCCCUCUCACCUCUCUCUCCUCUCAUGGCCUGCUCUAAUCUGCUGGCUAUGUUCAGUCUGGACUCUUCCUGACCUCUGUUUGUACUCUACUUCAUGCAGACAUGGACUGGGUUUAGAGGAUGGUGCUGGAUGGAUGGGGGUUGGCCACACUGGUUAGGACCCAUUGUUUACUAAAGGAAAUCCAAGCAGGGGUCCUGGGACCUAUGUCCCCAAAUAGCACACAAGACUCACCCAGUUUGAAUUCCUCAGGCAUCAGGGAGGGCACAAACCUAGCUUAGGGCUCUGUUUCCACCACUGGGGUAGCGGGAACGCCUUUGAAACAUUAUCAGCCACUUUCCUUCAGGGUACCAGAUGGCCCUCAGUUACAGAUACCCAGGCAGAAAAAAGUGAGCCAAGUUCCUCCGGCCUCUACCCCUGAGCCACGUCCAACUGACUCCACCAAUGAGCUGGCCCUAAGCUCUGCGUGCUCAGCUGUACCCUGCCUGACGUCACUUCCAUAGUUUAAAGCCCUUCACUCUUUGGCCAUUCAGAUGUAUCAACUCCACAUCCCAGGCCCUGGAGUCACCCACGUGAUCACUGACACCCAUGCCAGCCAAGCUAAUUAAGAGGUUUAAGAAUCCUUUAAUAAUGGCCUGACCAAGGGUAGGUGAACGCAUCCAAAAAUGCCUCUUGUUGAUGAAGCUCAGGGGUACGGUGUUUUUUUGGUGUUUUUUUUUUAAGACAAAACCCAUAAAAACCACAAUUACAUCAGUGUUCAAGGAGGUUACGUCAGUGUUUGGGGCUGCGGUAACCUUGUAACAUCUGUCUUUCUGCAGAGCUUAGCAGGAUUUUCCAGACACAACACACGACAAUUAUUUUUGAUUUACACUUCCUCUAGUUAUUUUAGCUUUAUGUUUUGGCUUGCACAGACGUCAAUUAUUUUGGUUAAUACAUCUGGACAAUGGUUAGGGUCACAGAUGUGGUUAUUGGAGAUUGGAUGGCCGAGAAGGCAGACUAAACUCAAAAGUGGAGUCAGAACAAGAUGAUGUUACCUUAGUCUCUUUAGACCAAUCCUGACAGAUAGCACAGGCUAUCCCACCCCCCAUCACACUCUCCACCAGUAGCAGAUGUUCUCACUCUCCUGGGCAUGAAAGUGGAAGUCUCAGCGCUGUCUGUGUGUCUCUUCACACACGAGCACAUUUUCAGUCUGAGGAUGAAGGCUCCAUUUUCUUCCCAGAGGGAUUUAUGCAUUUGCUGUUUGCUUACUUUAUCCUAAAAAAAAAAAAAGAUUUAUUUGUUUAUUGUAUAUAAGUAUACUGUCACUGUCUUCAGACACACCAGAAGAGGGCAUCAGAUCUCUUUACAGAUGGUUGUGAGCCACCAUGUGUUUGCUGGGAUUUGAACUCAGAACCUCUGGGAGAGCAAUCAGUGCUCUUAACCACUGAACCAUCUCUCCAGCCCCACUUUACCUUUUUAUUAUGUCUAUUUGAGACAGAGUCUCAUGUAACCCAGGCUGGCCUCCAACUUGAUAAGUAGCUAAAGAUGACCCCGAACUCCUGAUCUUCCUUCCUUUAUCUCCCGGCUGCUGGGAUUUACAGGCGAACUGCUGCAUCCCAUAUAAGUGGUUCUGGGGAUGCUCUGUUCAGCAGUUGUGGGGUAGAGUCUCUGGAGCAAAUGCCAUUUGUGGGAGCUUUCCCUGAACUUCCCUCCACCGCUCCUGAGAGAGAUCCAACCUCAUUCCUGCUUUUGAAGUGACUUUCAUUUCAUAUAUGUCCCUAGCACUCCACACAGCCCCAUGAUAGUGUUUACAGCAGGAAGCUUUGAGGAAAAGCUGAGGUAUCAUCUCCAAAGGUAGAGGGGACAUGAGAACACCCAGACAGAGACAGACAAGGGGACGAACUCAUGAUUAUUUAGAAGUGGGGAGAAAAGUUGUACAAGUUAUAACCCUGGUCGUGUGUUCUAGUAAGUUCCUCCAGAGUUAAUUACCACUGGGCAAUUUCUAAAGAUUCAGGGACUCCAGGGAGCUCUCUAAGACUCAGGAAGUAGACAACUCAGAAGUUCAAGAAAGCUCCUGAAACUGACCAGAUGCACUAGGCUCCUCCUUCCCCAAGCUCAUCUAAGCAGUAAGGAUGUCUGGGGAGACAUAGACCAGCUGAAUGGAUGGAGAAGAGCCGAAUGGAUGGAGAAGACACUCUCUGACCUGUUGAACUGCCUUCAGGCUGUGCAGUGAGCUUCGGGGUCUCAGCUUUCAUGAGCUGCCACCCAUGCUGGAGUGGGCUUUGGUGAUUCAGCUGUCUUUGAAUCAUUUCUGCUCCUGUAAGUAACCCCCAUAAACUCCUCAAUUCUCCAAGUUGGAAUUUGGUGGUAUCCUACUUUUGCUCCAUCAUUAGUUUUCUAUCUGUAGUGAGCAGACAUUGUUCAUGGCUCCCAACAUAGCGUCACACGGCAAUUCAGUAGCUCGCCAGCUACUAUAGAAGCUUGUGGGAGACCCACAUGUGAACCAGAAAGCCAUCUUAUCAAGCAAAAGCAUCUCAUAUGACCCCUGGGUGGGUCAGGUGACACCAGUCACUCCUCUCAUUGUGACUCUUUGCAGAGACAAUGGCUGGUGGGCUGUCCACAGAUUUACCUUUAAAAUGUGCUCAGUUUAUCGAGCAAACACUCCUUAAAAUACCACGGUUAGAGGAACAUGGAACAGACAUCUCACCAAGUAGGGAGCAGUUAGUCAGACAGCAAAUGCUGCCCCAGGGUUCCGCUGGGGGAAAUCACUUCCAGCAAGGGUGAUUUGAAGCCUUCGGGCAUGACCCAUGUCUUCUUUGGCUAUGGCAGGUUAGGAAGAUGGCGUUGGUGGAGUGCCAGAAGGUCCUGACGGUGUGAGCCAGUGGCUAGGCGCUGGUGGGCGAGCAUGUGUGAGCUCAGCAGCGACGCCAGAAGUUCGAUGGUCACUGAAGCCAUGGCCACACGUAGAGUCUCCAAGUUCUCUUGCUGAUGGAGAUCACUGCUAAGGUUUAAGAUGCCGCGCUGUGUCUUAGGAACGUGGCAGUGCAGUCCCAGGGCCACCUCCAAAGUUCCAGUUUUCAUAUCAUUUCGUAUCAUUGAGCAGUAGCUUUGGGGCUCAUAGCUUCUCAGGCAAGGCUUGUCCUGGGCUUGGCUCAGAGCUGAGCUGCCUGAGAGUUGAUCCAUUCACACCUCAGAGCUUGGGGGAUGAGGAAGUCCCUAUCUGAGCUGCCUGGUGGCAGGCUCCCAUCUUAUAGACAUUACAUUGUUCCGAGUCACACAAAGCGACUUUGAAGCUACACAAAAGAGUUUUACUUACAUUAUGUCUGUUGAGCAUUCACCAUCUACCAGCUGGUCUCACGUUGGGGCAAUCCUCACACCAGCUGGGGUUUGUCAUUUGAUUCCCAUUUCACAGGCAAGAACACUGAGGCGGGAGGGCACUCUGUCCAAGGUACACAGGGCUUAUGUCUAGAAUCCACCAUUACCCAAGGCUUGUUGUGUGCCUGAGCCCAGAAGGGUCCAUUCCAACCCAAUUUCUGGUGGUUGGCACUGGCUAGAUCCUUAUUCUGGACUACAGGAGGCCACAUCCCAGUCGAGGGGCGUGAUACACAUGGGCAGAGCUGUGAUACUUGGCUCAAAUCUAUAGUUCAGUUCUUUGCCAGGAACUACGGCUUCAUAAGCCAUGGCUUCCCAACGUGGCAGUGGAGACACCUAACUUGGUGUUGGUGGCCAGAGAGUCUGGUAAUCUGUGGGUCUCUUGCUAACCCGAGAGGACUUUCCACACAUUAAACUUCUUUCAUUGUUUGACAAA